ensembl:lncRNA
ACCACGUGAACGUGUUGAUUCCUCAAACAAGUUCUGUUUUUACCAACUUUUAAUUACAUACUAGCACUUGGAUUUAUUUUUUAUUGAUGGUAUUCUGCAUUCACGAGGCAAAGCUGGACUUGUAAAGGUUUGAAAGACAAGAUUUGGUGUGCCACGUCUGGUGAUCUGAUAUGGCACAGACUCCAUGGUCACGUGACUGAAGAGGUAAUGAGGUCCUGUCAACUGGCAUUACUGGAAGUUGCUGUCCCUAGAAAGUUGACCACAACUAAUGAGUACUUUGAUAGAUGAAAAAUCUGUUAAAUACUGAAACAAAUACCUAACCAUCCAGAUUGUGAUUAUUUAGCUGUCAGCUUUUAAAUUUCGCUCAAAGAUGUUUUAGGCACAAUCAAGAGCCAAGACAAAUAAGAUGUUCAUUGACUUUUUGGGGGGAUUUAUAUGACUUGAAGCUACAACACUGCAAUUUCC